rnacentral:snoRNA from 1 species
UAUUCUGAUGAUAUAAUUUGCGAUUGACUUCGGCACUGGAGACUCUCGCCGGAGUCUCAUAACAGUGCUGGGGACAUGAUAUUGAAUUCUUACAUAUGCUGAAC